rnacentral:rRNA from 1 species
UACGUAGGUGACCAGCGUUGUCCGGAUUUACUGGGCGUAAAGAGCGCGCAGGCGGUCGUUCAAGUCGAGUGUGAAAGCCCCCGGCUCAACUGGGGAGGGUCACUCGAUACUGAUCGACUUGAAGGCAGGAGAGGGAAGCGGAAUUCCCGGUGUAGUGGUGAAAUGCGUAGAUAUCGGGAGGAACACCAGUGGCGAAGGCGGCUUCCUGGCCUGUUCUUGACGCUGAGGCGCGAAAGCUAGGGGAGUAAACGGG